CGGGGUAUAGCUAAGACAGUAAAGCACCUCCCUUACACUGAGAAGUCAUCCGUGCAAAUCGGGUUACCCUGA
rnacentral:tRNA from 1 species